rnacentral:rRNA from 1 species
AAGCUCGUAGUUGAAUUUCGGGAUCGAAUUGUUGGUCGUGCUUCGGUACGCACUGGCAUUAUCGGUUCCUACCUUCUGAAGAACCGCGAUGUCAUUAAUUUGGUGUCGUGGGGAAUCAGGACUGUUACUUUGAAAAAAUUAGAGUGUUUAAAGCAGGCUUACGCUUGAAUACAUUAGCAUGGAAUAAUGAAAUAGGACGUUUGAUUCUAUUUUGUUGGUUUCUAGGAUCGACGUAAUGAUUAAUAGGGAUAGUUGGG